rnacentral:lncRNA from 1 species
UGUGUUUAUUCUUCUUGAUCUCUCCUACACAAGGAAAUCUGAGCAGCAGCAACGGCAGAUCCUGUGAGAUCUAGGCGCUAAAGGUACAUAUUACCAAGCAUACAAAGUUGAGUUUUAUUAUAAAUUAGCCUUGUGCAAUCCCAUUCCUUUUCUUUUUAGUUAUGGGAUGCAGCACAAAAGGCGCCUUAAUUCAGCCUUUCUUUUUAAAUACCAAUUAACUACAUAUAUAUCCUGUGAUCGUAUCAUCAUCCCUAAUGCCUUUAUUCCCGAAAUUAUAAAUUGAGUCAAAAAAAGGGCAUUGAUUUUGCCGGCCCCGGCUCCUACAUGGUUUUCGAUAUUUAAAAAUAUUGUUAUUAAUGAUUAAAGUACCUGAAAUGAUUAAGCAUGGUAUUUGGUAUUUGGUAUUUGACAGUUCGCUUUGAGGAAUUUUGCCAACAUUCGUCACAAUUUUUCGAGGUAAAGAAACCAAAAAAUGGUGUUCAAGAAUUUUAGAUGGUUCUGUGCGUUUUACCAUUUCAAUAUGCAAUAUGUUUCUCAUCAUCGUAGUUCAAUAUUUAUGCUAGUGUUCACAAAAAAUCUAUCCAAAAAAUUAGAUGCAUAGGCUUUAAUAAUUCUACCACUAAUGCAUGCAAUAAUCAAGUACUUAAUUUCUCAAUAGACGAGUUGGUAAACGUUGGUGUCCUCUUAUCUGGUGCAUUGGCUUUUUAUAAUUUUGCUAAUAUUUCAAUUUGCACUAAAAACUACAGUAUGCAUAAGUUGUAUUAUGUGUUCCAGAAUUGUGUAGUAGUUUGUAAUCUCCCCUUGUAAUAAGUUUUUGUCAGCGGUUUUCUUGGGAGAAAUACUAUCAUUCUUGUAAUUCAGCAAGUUAAUGUAAAAGUAUAUCGUAGCGGUUA